UACGAAGGGGGCUAGCGUUGCUCGGAAUCACUGGGCGUAAAGCGCACGUAGGCGGAUCUUUAAGUCAGGGGUGAAAUCCUGGAGCUCAACUCCAGAACUGCCUUUGAUACUGAGAAGCUUGAGUCCGGGAGAGGUGAGUGGAACUGCGAGUGUAGAGGUGAAAUUCGUAGAUAUUCGCAAGAACACCAGUGGCGAAGGCGGCUCGCUGCCGUGGUCGGUACUGACA
rnacentral:rRNA from 1 species